UACGGGGGGGGUAAGCGUUGUUCGGAAUUACUGGGCGUAAAGAGCUCGUAGGCGGCCUGUCGCGUCAAUUGUGAAAGCCCGGGGCUCAACCCCGGGUCUGCAGUCGAUACGGGCAGGCUAGAGUUCGGUAGGGGAGAUCGGAAUUCCUGGUGUAGCGGUGAAAUGCGCAGAUAUCAGGAGGAACACCGGUGGCGAAGGCGGAUCUCUGGGCCGACACUGACGCUGAGGAGCGAAAGCGUGGGGAGCGAACAGG
rnacentral:rRNA from 1 species